rnacentral:rRNA from 1 species
GACGAGCGCUGGCGGCGUGCUUAACACAUGCAAGUCGAACGAUGAAGCCGGAGCUUGCUCUGGUGAAUUAGUGGCGAACGGGUGAGUAACACGUGAGUAACCUGCCCUUGACUCUGGGAUAACUGCGGGAAACUGUAGCUAAUACCGGAUACGACCCUCGGAGGCAUCGCCAGGGGGUGGAAAGAAUUUCGGUCAAGGAUGGACUCGCGGCCUAUCAGCUAGUUGGUGAGGUAACGGCUCACCAAGGCGACGACGGGUAGCCGGCCUGAGAGGGGAACCGGCCACACUGGGACUGAGACACGGCCCAGACUCCCACGGGAGGCAGCAGUGGGGAAUAUUGCACAAUGGGCGCAAGCCUGGUGCAGCAACGCCGCGUGAGGGAUGACGGCCUUCGGGUUGUAAACCUCUUUUAGUAGGGAAGAAGCGAGAGUGACGGUACCUGCAGAAAAAGCACCGGCUAGCUACGUGCCAGCAGCCGCGGUAA